rnacentral:lncRNA from 1 species
UUCCGAUAAUCAUUGAUCCCCGACUCAAUGUACCAAUGACUGGGAAUAUUUAAGAUUAGGAUUUUAGGAUUUUAAGUCUCACUAGUAUGAUCUCAUCAUAGUCUUAAAACCAUUGCCCUAAACUAAGGAGUUUAUCAUAAAUAUAAUCAACAGCAUAUGAUAAAACAUAACGCCUUUAUUCAUAUUUAAAUGUCAUGUACAUGAUUUGGACAAAUCAAAAGAAAAAACCUUUCGCAAUACAUAUUGCGAUUGGCUUGUAGGGCAUCUACUCUUUCAU